rnacentral:rRNA from 1 species
CAGCCGCCGCGGGAAAACAGAGGGUGCGAGCGUUAAUCGGAUUUACUGGGCGUAAAGCGUGCGUAGGCGGCUAAUUGAGUCGGAUGUGAAAUCCCCGAGCUUAACUUGGGAAUUGCAUUCGAUACUGGUUAGCUAGAGUGUGGGAGAGGAUGGUAGAAUUCCAGGUGUAGCGGUGAAAUGCGUAGAGAUCUGGAGGAAUACCGAUGGCGAAGGCAGCCAUCUGGCCUAACACUGACGCUGAGGUACGAAAGCAUGGGGAGCAAACAGGAUUAGAUACCCCCGUAGUCCCUGUCUCUUAUAC